rnacentral:rRNA from 1 species
GACGAACGCUGGCGGCGUGCUUAACACAUGCAAGUCGAACGAAGUGGCGAACGGGUGAGUAACGCGUAAUCCACCUGCCCUUCAGAGGGGGACAACAGUUGGAAACGACUGCUAAUACCGCAUACUGAAGGAGGGGAUUGCGUCUGAUUAGCUAGUUGGAGGGGUAACGGCCACCCAAGGCGAUGAUCAGUAGCCGGGCUGGGAGGGGUAACGGCCACAUUGGGACUGAUACACGGCCCAGACUUGUACGGGGGGCAGCAGUGGGGAAGCUUCCGCAAUGGACGAAAGUCUUACUGAGCAACGCCGCGUGAGUGAUGACGGCCUUCGGGUUGUAAAGCUCUGUUAAUCGGGACGCGGUACCGGAAUAGAAAGCCACGGCUAACUACGUGCCAGCAGCCGCGGUAAUAC